GUUUUAACCAGCAACUGAAAUCAGAAGACAAAUUGGGAUCCCGAUGACAGUGUCCCCAUACUGUUUCCUGUGAACAGCUCUGAAGCCAGUUUACCUAUAACCUUCAGCACCGAGGUACACCCUACCGGUUCCCCCGUCUGCAGGAGGAUGGCGAAGGUGGAGAGUACACACAGGUAACCAGCCCAGCCUGGAACGUCUCCUGGUCAGGACAAGAAAAGGACACAGCACAGCAGUGUAUCAGAGCACAGUGUGUGGGAGAGAGAAAGAGGAAAAUUUUGGUUAAUUCAUAGCUAAUUUACAUUAGUGUUUUAGUGAUGUUACACAAACAUAUACUUCCCGGUUUUAUAUAUUGGUUGCACAGUUCAUUUACAUUUGUUCUUCAGUAAUGUUACAUAGGCUGAUCUAAGAAUGAGGUAAGCCAGGUCUGGCACUUAUAUUGUAUCAUGAGUUUCUCUGGGUAAGAGCAUCCACUAAAUUAAUGUAAUACAGUGAAACCUGUCAAAGGCAGCCACCCAGAGGAGUAAUGAGAGGAGUAAUGAGAACUGGCUGUCAUGUGCAGGUGUAUGAAGGUGACCCCUAUGGCAGGUUUCUCUGUAUUCGUGUAUGACCAAAACCCAUUUCCCCAGCAAAUUUUAGAGCACUUUUCCCACCAUAAACUUUUCUAAUCACCUUUUCUGCAGUCUUCUCAGUGCCACUGGCUCACGAGCAGCCAUUUUAAAACGGACACUAGUUAACUUUCACAGAGUAAGAAUAUGACCACAAUGACAGCAGCAUACUCUUAAAUACCAAUCUACCAUGGUUACUUUUAAAAAAAUCACAUAAGCAGAAAAAGAUACUGAAGUUCACUAAAUUAAGCCAGCAUGUGGAGAAUCUUCAGUCUGCUAAUUGUAUGUGUGUGUGUGUGGGGAGUGAGUUAGUAAGUUCCAAUCUUGGUCCAUGAGGUGCUUUGCAACUAAAAAAAAACCUGAACAUAAGAAGAUAAGGAUAACGCAAAUCAUUGAAAGAAGUUUUCGAGAAAGUGCCAACCCCCUCAAGAAAAAAACAAAAACAAAUUGAGGCGUUUCUUGGAAACACCAAAAGGCUAAAGCCGCCAUCUCAUAAGAUGAAAUGUGAC